rnacentral:tRNA from 1 species
CAUUUAGAAGCUAUUUAUUGCAUAGAAUUGUAAAUUCUAAAUUUGGAUUUUUUCCCUAAAU